rnacentral:rRNA from 1 species
UGGGGAAUUUUGGGCAAUGGCCGCAAGGCUGACCCAGCGACGCCGCGUGCGGGAGGACGCCCUUCGGGGUGUAAACCGCUGUCAGGGGGGAAGAAAUCUUUUCUGGAGAAUAUCCAGGGGAAUUGACGGUACCCUCAAAGGAAGCGCCGGCUAACUCCGUGCCAGCAGCCGCGGUAAGACGGAGGGCGCGAGCGUUGUUCGGAAUCACUGGGCGUAAAGCGCGCGCAGGCGGGACUAGCAAGUCGGAAGUGAAAUCUUGGGGCUCAACUCCGAGGCUGCUUCCGAAACUGCGGACCUGGAGACUGGUAGAGGUGGGUGGAAUUCCCGGUGUAGCGGUGGAAUGCGUAGAGAUCGGGAAGAACACCGGUGGCGAAGGCGGCCCACUGGGCCAGUUCUGACGCUGAGGCGCGAAAGCGUGGGGAGCAA